rnacentral:rRNA from 1 species
GAUGAACGCUGGCGGCGUGCUUAACACAUGCAAGUCGAACGGAAAGGCCCAAGCUUGCUUGGGUACUUGAGUGGCGAACGGGUGAGUAACACGUGGGUGAUCUGCCCUGCACUUCGGGAUAAGCCUGGGAAACUGGGUCUAAUACCGGAUAGGACCACUUCUUGGAUGUUGUGGUGGAAAGUUUUUUCGGUGUGGGAUGAGCUCGCGGCCUAUCAGCUUGUUGGUGGGGUAAUGGCCUACCAAGGCGUCGACGGGUAGCCGGCCUGAGAGGGUGUACGGCCACAUUGGGACUGAGAUACGGCCCAGACUCCUACGGGAGGCAGCAGUGGGGAAGAUUGCACAAUGGGCGCAAGCCUGAUGCAGCGACGCCGCGUGGGGGAUGACGGCGUUCGGGUUGUAAACUCCUUUCGCUAGGGACGAAGCGUUUUGUGACGGUACCUGGAGAAGAAGCACCGGCUAACUACGUG